GACGAACGCUGGCGGCGUGCUUAACACAUGCAAGUCGAACGGAGUGGCGAACGGGUGAGUAACACGUGGGUGAUCUGCCUUGCACUUCGGGAUAAGCCUGGGAAACUGGGUUUCAUACCGGAUAGUGCAGGAUGAGCUCGCGGCCUAUCAGCUUGUUGGUGGGGUAAUGGCCUACGAAGGCGUGGACGGGUGGCCGGCCUGGGAGGGGGUACGGCCACAGUGGUCCUGGGGUACCGCCCAGACGGCUACGGUAGGCAGGAGUGGGAGAUAUUGCACAAAGGGCGGAAGCCGGAUGCAGGGACGCCGGGUGGGGAAUGAAGGCCUUCGGGUUGGAAACGCCUUUCGACGGGGACGCGGUACCUGUAUAAGAAGCACCGGCUAACUACGUGCCAGCAGCCGCGGUAAUAC
rnacentral:rRNA from 1 species